rnacentral:rRNA from 1 species
GAUGAACGCUGGCGGCGUGCCUAAUACAUGCAAGUCGAGCGAACAGACGAGGAGCUUGCUCCUCUGACGUUAGCGGCGGACGGGUGAGUAACACGUGGAUAACCUACCUAUAAGACUGGGAUAACUUCGGGAAACCGGAGCUAAUACCGGAUAAUAUAUUGAACCGCAUGGUUCAAUAGUGAAAGACGGUUUUGCUGUCACUUAUAGAUGGAUCCGCGCCGCAUUAGCUAGUUGGUAAGGUAACGGCUUACCAAGGCGACGAUGCGUAGCCGACCUGAGAGGGUGAUAGGCCACACUGGAACGGAGCCGGGGUCCAGACUCCUGCGGGAGGCAGCAGUAGGGAAUGUUCCGCAAUGGGCGAAAGCCUGACGGAGCAACGCCGCGUGAGUGAUGAAGGUCUUCGGAUCGUAAAACUCUGUUAUUAGGGAAGAACAAAUGUGUAAGUAACUAUGCACGUCGUGACGGUACCUGAUCAGAAAGCCACGGCUAACUACGUG